GCCUCAUCUCGGGUAAAGCCCACCCACACUCAAUUCUUUGAAGUCCCUCAGCUUAAACCCUAACCCUAUUUCUCUCUCUCUCUUUCUCCCAAACUCCCACUCCCUCCCACCUCCUCCUCUCUCAAACAUCAAGAUCAAAGUGAUUAAACUCAGUCCCGACCUCGGUCUCAAACAUCAAGUGAUUAAACUGAUAAACUCUCCCGACUCUCCGCUCCGGUCUCCCCCAGCUCUUCGCCUCUUCCUGCUCCCGCCGCUAGCCACACCUCCGCUCCCGCGGCACCGCCGCCCAACGGCCAGCCUCUCUGGAUAAAAAAGGAUAGAUUUUUCUGGUGAAAGCUGAGAGAAUGAAGUCCUGGGCUGAGGAAAAACUGGCGAGCAAAUCUAUCUGCAACAAGGAGAAUAGCGAAGAAGAAAUGAGCAAAUGGUGAGGCCAAUCAGAAGCGAGCUGCAAGAACUGCAGAGGCAGCAGUUGUCAUUCAACUUGAGCACCUCCUCAAGCUUCAUCGUGUGGAUAAGAACCAUUUUGUGCAUCUCUUUUAGCUUUUCAUGAUAUUCGUUUUUCUCCUAAAUUCAUGCUUUCCAGGCUUUGCAGUAAUAUGAACGUCUUGAUUAUAUGUUUUUCA